CUCAUCUUUGGGUGAAAAAUUGUCGGGAUCUUCUGCAGUCCAGCUACAACAAACAGCGCUUUGAUCAACCUUUAGAGGCUUCAACCUGGCUGAAGAAUUUCAAAACUACGAAUGAGCGCUUCCUGAACCAGAUAAAAGUUCAAGAGAAGUAUGUCUGGAAUAAGAGAGAAAGCACUGAGAAAGGGAGUCCUCUGGGAGAAGUGGUUGAACAGGGCAUAACACGGGUGAGGAACGCCACAGAUGCAGUUGGAAUUGUGCUGAAAGAGCUAAAGAGGCAAAGUUCUUUGGGUAUUUUUCACCUCCUAGUGGCCGUGGAUGGAAUCAAUGCUCUUUGGGGAAGAACCACUCUGAAAAGAGAAGAUAAAAGCCCGAUUGCCCCAGAAGAAUUAGCACUUGUUCACAACUUGAGGAAAAUGAUGAAAAAUGAUUGGCAUGGAGGCGCCAUUGUGUCGGCUUUGAGCCAGACUGGGUCUCUCUUUAAGCCCCGGAAAGCCUAUCUGCCCCAGGAGUUGCUGGGAAAGGUCAAGUCAAAGGAAAAUUUGUUUCUACUUAGAUUGUUAUCCUGUCUAAAGAAAAAUAUUUUUAUUAAUCUAUUUAUUUUGACAUAAUUUCAGACUUAGAGAAAAAUCAUACUCUUGUAUGCCCUUCCCUUGGAUUCCUAAAAUAUUAAUUUGAUCGUCAUUGCUUUA
rnacentral:sRNA from 1 species